rnacentral:ncRNA from 1 species
GUCCGAGAACCGUGAGGAAACGUCUCCCCUUGCGGAUCCGGCAAAUUCAUAACAAAGGAG